CGUUCGGUCGCUAUGGUAACCGCGGGGAAGCGCCCGGCGCCGUGAAAAGCGCAGGCGCGCAGGGCGCGCGCAGGCGCGCUGAGGGGUCGAUGGCGCAUUACAAGGCCGAGGACUCCAAGCGGGAGCAGUUCCGCCGGUACCUGGAGAAGGCGGGGGUGCUGGACGCGCUCACCAAGGUGUUGGUAGCCUUAUAUGAAGAGCCAGAGAAACCAAAUAGUGCACUGGACUUUCUGAAGCAUCAUCUGGGAGCUUUAGCUCCUGAGAAUCCAGAAAUAGAGGCACUUCGCUUGGAAGUGGCAGAGAUGAAAGAGAAAUACGAAGCUGUGUUGGAAGAAAAUAAAAACCUGAAAGCCAAGGAAAUAUGGCAAAGAGCAGAGUUUUAGGGGGAGUAGCAAUAGACCAGCAGUUCACUUGGUGUAGCUGACUUAAAGCAACCCAUACUGGCUCAGUAUGAACCACCUGAAGAAGAGAUGCCUGGUGAAUAGCAGUAGUUCCUCCUUUAAUACCUUGACUUAAUAAAGGGCUUCCUGAGAACUGUAGUCUUUUUUUUGUGUGUGUGUGUGUGUGUGUGAACUCUGCAUGUCUACUUUGUUACCUCAUCAUCUUAAAGAAAAGGUGCACUAUUGUGAGUGUGCAGCUGCAGCAGCAGAUGAGUUGAAGCAAACUGGCCAACUUUCUUGCUUCUGUGCUUCAGGAAGGGUGAGAGUUGUGAUGAAUGUGUAGGUAA